GCUUUGGCGUUGGCAGCGGUCCAAGUUCUUUGGAACAGGACGUCACAGAGGGUGAGAAUCCCGUACGUGGUCGCUAGCCUUCGCCGUGUAAAGCCCCUUCGACGAGUCGAGUUGUUUGGGAAUGCAGCUCUAAAUGGGAGGUAAAUUUCUUCUAAAGCUAAAUACUGGCCAGAGACCGAUAGCGCACAAGUAGAGUGAUCGAAAGAUGAAAAGCACUUUGGAAAGAGAGUCAAAUAGCACGUGAAAUUGUUGAAAGGGAAGCGCUUGCAGCCAGACUUGCCUGUAGUUGCUUAUCCGGACUUUUGUCCGGUGCACUCUUCUGCGGGCAGGCCAGCAUCAGUUUAGGCGGUUGGAUAAAGGUCUCUAUCACGUACCUCCCUUCGGGGUUGGCCUUAUAGGGGAGACGACAUGCAACCAGCCUGAACUGAGGUCCGCGCAUCUGCUAGGAUGCUGGCGUAAUGGCUGUAAGCGGCCCGUCUUGAAACACGGACCAAGGAGUCUAACAUCUAUGCGAGUGUUUGGGUGUCAAGCCCAGACGCGUAAUGAAAGUGAACGGAGGUGGGAACCUUUUAGGUGCACCAUCGACCGAUCCUGAUGUCUUCGGAUGGAUUUGAGUAAGAGCAUGGCUGUUGGGACCCGAAAGAUGGUGAACUAUGCUUGAAUAGGGUGAAGCCAGAGGAAACUCUGGUGGAGGCUCGCAGCGGUUCUGACGUGCAAAUCGAUCGUCAAAUUUGGGC
rnacentral:rRNA from 2 species